CCUACGGGUGGCAGCAGUGAGGAAUAUUGCACAAUGGGGGGAACCCUGAUGCAGCGACGCCGCGUGGGGGAGGAAGUACUUCGGUAUGGAAAGCCCUAUCAGCAGGGAAGAAAAUGACGGGACCUGACUAAGAAGCCCCGGCUAACUACGUGCCAGCAGCCGCGGGAAUACGUAGGGGGCAGGCGUUAUCCGGAAUCAAGGGGUGUAAAGGGAGCGUAGUCGGCUGUGCAAGCCCGAAGUGAAAGGCGGGGGCCCAACCCCUGGACCGCUUUGGGAACUGUCAGGCUGGAGUGGAGGAGAGGUAAGUGGAAUGCGCAGUGUAGCGGUGAAAUGCGUAGAUAUUAGGAGGAACACCAGUGGCGAAGGCGGCUUACUGGA
rnacentral:rRNA from 1 species